AUUGAACGCUGGCGGCAUGCUUUACACAUGCAAGUCGAACGGUAACAGGCCGCAAGGUGCUGACGAGUGGCGAACGGGUGAGUAAUGCAUCGGAACGUGCCCAGUCGUUGGGGAUAACUACUCGACAGAGUAGCUAAUACCGCAUACGAUCUAUGCUUCAAAUCGGUGGUCCGUAAGGCCUCGCUCGAUUGGAGCGGCCGAUGUCAGAUUAGGUAGUUGGUGGGGUAAAGGCUCACCAAGCCAACGACCUGUAGCUGGUCUGAGAGGACGACCAGCCACACUGGGACUGAGACACGGCCAAGACUCCUAAGGGAGGCAGCAGUGGGGAAUGGUAGACAAUGGGCGCAAGCAUGAUCCAGCAAUGCCGCGUGCAGGAAGAAGGCCUUCGGGUUGUAAACUGCUUUUGUACGGAACGAAACGGCUCUGGUUAAUACCAGGGGCGAAUGACGGUACCGUAAGAAUAAGCACCGGCUAACUACGUG
rnacentral:rRNA from 1 species